GAUGAACGCUAGCGACAGGCUUAACACAUGCAAGUCGAGGGGCAGCGGGUAGAUGAGCUUGCUCAUUUAUGCCGGCGACCGGCGCACGGGUGAGUAACACGUAUGCAACCUGCCCGUCUCAGGGGGAUAAUCGUCGGAAACGGCGUCUAAUACCCCGUAUGAAGCUGGACGGCAUCGUCUGGUUUUGAAAGAAUAUCGGAGACGGAUGGGCAUGCGGCGCAGUAGCUGGGUGGCGGGGUAACGGCCCACCAAGGCGACGAUGCGUAGGGGUUCUGAGAGGAAGGUCCCCCACACUGGUACUGAGACACGGACCAG
rnacentral:rRNA from 1 species